rnacentral:lncRNA from 1 species
AGGAAGCAUACCAAAUGUUGAUGAUGCGAAAAAAAAGCAAAAAUAGUCUCUCCGCCUAAGGAUCUUAUUUCUGAUGCAAGAAGAGGACACAUGAAAGGAGCUGAAAAGCAUGCAUGUGGAAAGAGGGAGUAGAAUAGAUGGCGGCAACUACAACAUCUGGGAAUUAAUAAUAUCCAGAAGGAAUGAAGAAUGAUGAGCACUGUCUUGUCUUCAAAAUGGAUUUUCGAGGAGGAUGUCAUCAGUGGGAGAAGGAAAUCAACAAAUUGUCCAGUGACAUUCCAAGUGUAUUAAAGCUUGGAGGUGGAGUCAAGAUGGUGGCAUAAAGGCAGCAAGGGUUCAGACCUCUGAAAUCCCUUCCUUACUGAUUACAAACUCAAUGCUCCUAGGGAACUGAAAAUCAAACCUGACAACAAAACAGAGGCAAGGAACCCUCCUGCUGGAUUCAAUUUAAACGUGCCUAUUGAAGCUACUACAUCUUCUUCAAAUCAGAAGUUUCCUGAAUCUCCUAUAGCCAUCUUUUCUAAAAUCACAUGCAGAACCUUCCCCCAAAAAGAUACAAGUUCUGUGAGCUCUUUUUGUGGUAGUAAAGAAGAGGAUACCGAAGGGAUGUUCAUCAUUUGGAGAAUUACUGAAGAAGUUGUGACAUAUGAUUUUAAUGGAAUUCUGUAUUGUUAUAAGAAAUGAUAAGCAAGAUGAUCACAAAACAAGCUGGAAAGGCUUAUGUAAAGUGAUGUAUUGUACACAGUAAUAGCAAUAAAGUGUGAUGAUGAAUUGUAAAUACUUAAUUA